AAAUUAUCACUGAUAAUCUUGGAUGAGCAAUAAGUAUUGUAGAAAGAGAUUGAUAUUUACUCAUUGUGGUUUUGCAGGAAUCAUGCAGAGAAUUUGAAGCUGUAAUCAGUUGUUUGAAACCACAGGUUGUUUUCUUGGAGUUAUGCUCAAGUCGAGUUGCAGUGCUUACUCCGCAAAAUUUGAAGGUACCAACCAUGGGAGAAAUGAUAGAUAUGUGGAAAAAAGAGCAUAACAUGUUUGUUAUCCUUUACAGCUGGUUUCUUGCAAAGGUUGAUAGGUUGCUAGUAGGCUCGAGGUUUUCCCUGGGUCUGAAUUUCUCGUGGCAUUUGAAGAAGCAAUGAAGUAUGGUGGCAAGGUAAUUCUUGGCGAUUGUCCUGUACAGGUAAGAUGUUUCACUGGUUAUAAAGUAGGAUCGCUUCCUAAAAGAAAAGUUUGUUGUUUAAAGUUGUUGGAAAAACACUAAUUUACAUUCAACAAUCUAAUUAUUGUUUAGAGGUAGGGGUGUAAAUGAACCGAGCUUGAACGAACAAG